ACCAUAGAGUUUGGCGAGGCGUACUAGAGGGGCUACCUAUUGCACCUCCCGGGUGGUUCGGGCUUAAGGUUAGCCAGGCUGAGGCUAUGGGAGCUGCAGGUGGAUACACAACCUUGGAUCUGGUGUAGCUCUCCUUAGCCCAGAGACUUUUAAGUUAAACAAACGCCCAAGAUACCUUUCUUUCACUAGAAUAUCAGCCGAUUAACAAAAAUGGUCCCAAAGCUCCGUGACACUGGACCCAUUUUUAGGACUAGAGAUAGUCUUCUUAAUCACUUUCUUCCCGCUCUUUAGCUCUGGGAUGUCCUUUUUCUCCUGAAAAUUCAUAUUCUGCCAGGUCCUUUAAAAAAAAUCGUUCCAACUCUCAUCUGAAGCUCCGGCUGCCUUGGCUGCCAGUUUAGCAUUUGUCUCUGACCUUUCUGCUUCCUCGAAGGAGAGGGCAGACAGCGAUGCAAGUGUCUUGCAAUGACAGCGCUACUGCAGAAAAUACUUUAUGGACUGAGAGAGAUCGAUAGAGCCGUGGGAAGAAUGGAAGAGCCAGAGGACGGGGAUGAGCGCUGUGAAAUGCUUUCUUCGGGACAGGAUACAUUGACUGCACUCAUGAGCUCUCUGCAGCUGUGACUCCCUGCACAAGUUCAAGUCAUCAUUCCAACAGGCUUCCAGUAGAAGGCAGGCCCAGCUUAGAUCUGGAUUAAAGAUCUGAACUAAAGGUGUGUCUUUCUACCUCAAGGAUCUGAAUGAGAGGUCUCAUGGCCUUAGCUGGUAUUUAUAAUCACCUUCUACUACUCAUUCUGUAUAUGCUCCACCUCAAGCACUUCAGCAGCGUUUUGGCUCUUUGCCUGGAGAAGUGAUUCACACCUUCAUUCCUGAAACCUGCCAGAAGCUCCAAAUAGCAUCUUUAUCUGCCACUGAUACCUCAAGUACCGCUGGGUCUCCUGGAUCAUAUGGUGCAAGUGGUAGAGCAGCUCGUACAACAGUCUGGAUCUCUUGAAAAGCCUCCUGUGCCAGGUCUGACUCGUCUUUCUGGGUCAGUGGUAAACGGGCUGGAGUAACACACCGAAGGGAGGAAUGCUGUGUCUCCAGAAUCCAAAUGGACCUACUAAACAUUGUACUUCCUUCUUGGUGGCAGGAGGGACCAGAUGCAAAAACUUAUCCUUCACCUUGGAAGGAAUAUUUCUAUAUGCCUAUACUACUGAACUCUUAAGAAUUUUAAUGAGGUAGAUGGCCCUUGAAUUUUUGGCUGGAUUUGUUUCCUCUGAUGCACGUAUGUGUUACCAAAAAGUCCAAAGUGGUGUCUACCUACUGCACUCUUGGUCCAAUCAGCAUAAUAUCAACAAUAUGAUGCACCAGUAUGAUACUUUGUGGAAGAGACUGAUAAUCGUGAUCCCUUCUGGCUAAGUUGUGACUCAUAUCUGGAAAGUUAAUAUAUUCUUGAGUCAAAACUGGAAAGGUACUACUGCUGGCCUUGCUAACUGAAAGCAAAUUGUUCCUUGUGGUCUUUUAAGUAGAUGUAGAAAAAAGGGCAUUAGUUAGAUCAAUAGCUGCAUACCAUGUACCAGGAGAUGUGUUAAUUUGCUCAAGUAAGGACACCACAUCGGGUACUGCAGCUGCAAUCAGAGUCCCUAUUUGAUUGACUCUUUCAUAGUCAACUGUUAUUCUCCAUGAUCCACCUGUCUUCUGUACUGGCUAGAUAGAAGGGCUAAAAGGAGAUGUGGUGGGAACCCCCACUCCAGCAUCUUUCUAGUCCUUGAUGGUGGCACUAAUUUCUGGAAUUCCUUCAGGGAUGCAAUACUGGUUUGGGGUUACUAUUUUCCCUGGCAGAGGCAACUCUAAAGGCUUCCAUUUAUCCUUUCUAACAAUAAUAGCCCUCACCCACAUAUGAGGGGACCAGUGUGAGAAUUCUGCCAACUUUUAAGUCUAUCUAUCCCAGCUAUACAUUCUGGAACUAAGUUGUGGAAAUAACCACAGAAUGAGUUCAAGAACCUAUUUGGACCUACUGUGAGUUGGAGUUCAGCCAAAACUCUCUUAGUCACCUGAUCUCCAUAAGCCCCUACUUUAACUGGAGGGCCACAAUAUGUUUUAGUAUCUCCCAGAAUCCAUGUUAAUUAAGAACUGGUAUCCAAUAGACCUCAGAAAUUCUGAUUGUUUACUUUCCCCAGUAUAUAGAAAGUUACCCUCUAGCCAGUGCCUAUGAGUCAUGCCACCAUAAAGUUCACUUGGACUGUGCUCCAGACCGAAAGGGCAAUAACAAAGCUUUCCAAAUGUGCCAGUGCCCCUCUCACCAUUUUGUGUCGAGGGGCAUAUCAUCUGGGCCUUCCCAUUGCGGAGGAUUAGGCUUUAAGCAGCAUACCCACUCUGGCAUUGCACUUUCCCUGAGCCUUAAAAAUCCCCUCAUCAAUGAUAAGCCAUAGGACACCAGGCAUCUCCAGCUCCUUUUCAGAGGGCUGUAUUUUCAGAAGUGCUUCAGCCAACCAUUCAAACAAACUUUUGGCACAUUUUUUUUUAAUUGUGGGAGAUUCCAUAUGAAACCUAGAGUCUCCAAUCAGAGGGCGCACAUCAUUAACCCAGGCUGGUCUAGUUUUAUGUUUCCUACACCAUUAUUUUACACUCUUAAAAUCCAUUCCCACGUGUGUUCUCCAGACUUCUGCUUGAAUGAGGUACUCAGUAAGCUCCUUACUAAUGUAGUGCACCUCCUUAUGUACCACACUUUCUACCUCCCCUCUAGGAGCCUGCUCUGCCUUGAGUCUGGUUAUAGGUUUAGAUGCAACUAUUGAUGAGCCCCAAGGGACAUAAGGAUUGUCUUGCCCAGCAUUUCCUUCAGGGAAAAUCAUUUCUGGUUUAGCAGACAAUGAAGGAUUAAUUUCCUCAAAGGUGAAAAAGGCAAUAUUUCCAGGGAUGGAGAUGAUAGUAGAGAGACUGCUCCCUCGGGUCAUAUAAACCCUUGAGAAUUUGAGGGCUCAAAGUUCUCAGCUUCAAUAGAGUCCUCCCACACAUGCCUAUCUGUACCGGUUGGUUAUGUGUGUCAACUUGACACAAGCUGGAGUUAUCACAGAGAAAGGAGCCUCACUGGAGGACAAUGCCUCCAUGACACCCAGCUAUAAGGCAUUGUCUCAAUUAGUGAUCAUGGGUGGGAGGGCCCAUUGUGGGUGGUGCCAUCUCUGGGCAGGUAGUCCUGGAUUCUAUAAAAAAGCAAACUGAGCAAGCCAGUAGCAUCCCUCCAUGGCCUCUGCAUCAGCUCCUGCUUCCUGACCUGCUUGAGUUCCAGUCCUGACUUUGGUGAUGUAGUAAUGUGGAAGUGUAAGCUGAAUAAACCCUUUUCCUGCCC
ensembl:lincRNA 4930480K23Rik RIKEN cDNA 4930480K23 gene